rnacentral:rRNA from 1 species
UGGCGGACGGGUGAGUAAUGUCUGGGAAACUGCCUAAUGGAGGGGGAUAACUACUGGAAACGGUAGCUAAUACCGCAUAACGUCGCAAGACCAAAGAGGGGGACCUUCGGGCCUCUUGCCAUCGGAUGUGCCCAGAUGGGAUUAGCUAGUAGGUGGGGUAAAGGCUCACCUAGGCGACGAUCCCUAGCUGGUCUGAGAGGAUGACCAGCCACACUGGAACUGAGACACGGUCCAG